rnacentral:rRNA from 1 species
AGUGAACGCUGGCGGCGUGCCUAAUACAUGCAAUUCGAAGGAAGUGGCGCACGGGUGAGUAAUAUAUAGCUAAUCUGCCCCUUGCUGGAGGACAACAGUUAGAAAUGACUGCUAAUACUCCAUAGCAAGGGAUGAGACUAUAUCGUAUCUGCUAUUCGGUGGGGUAAUGGCCUACCGAGGCUAUGACGCGUAACUGGUCUGAGAGGAUGAUCGGUGACAUUGGAACUGGGACACGGUACAAACUCCUACGGGAGGAAGCAGUAGGGAAUAUUGCGCAAUGGGGGAAACCCUGACGAAGCAUCGACGAAUGGAGGAUAACACUUUUCGGAGCGUAAACUCCUUUUGUUAGGGAAGCGGUACCUAACAAAUAAGCACCGGCUAACUCCGUGCCAGCCGCCGCGGUAAUAC